rfam:Picea glauca, whole genome shotgun sequence.
AGAUGCAAUCAUACCAACAUUAAUCCACCGAAAUCCAUCAUAUCUACAUAGUUAAGUGUGCUUGGGUUAGAAUAAUACUGGGAUGGGUGACCUCCCAGGAAGUCCUAGUGUUGCACCCU